rnacentral:lncRNA from 10 species
GCCAUCAGCACCCCUUUCCACGAAGAUGUCUGGUGUUCACUCUCAGAUGAAGAGAGGGAGUACUCAAACUCUAGGAUUCCUCAUAGCCCAAUAGACAGCAGCUUAACAGAAUUUCAACAGAAUGUUAAUUACACACAUAUAAUGAAUACUAUGCAUCAGGUAUUGUUCAAAUAACUUUACAAAUAUUAACUCAUUUAGCCUUAUACUACCCUAAUGAGGCAGGUAAAAUUAUUACCCCCAUUUUAUAGAGGAGGAAAUUGGGGCACAGAGAGGUUAAGUAACUGGCCCAGGGUCACACAGCCAGGAAGCCCAAAAGCCAGGAGUUGGCUCACAUUUUUAAUCUCUGCACUCUGCUGCCUAUGGAUUUGUUGGUUUCCUUCUUUUUCCAAUCAUUAAAUUAUCCUAACAGUUUUAUUGAGAUAUAAUUUAUAUACCGUAAACAUCACCCAUUUUAAGUGUACAAUUGAACAAUUUUAGUAAACUUAUCAAAUUGUGCAACCAUCACAACAAGCCAACUUUAGAGCAUUUCUAUCACCCUGGGAAAGAUUCUUUGUGCCCUUUUGCAGUCACUGUUAGUUCCAACCUCUGCUUGAAGCAACCAUUAAUCUUUCUGUCUCUGUAGAUUUGUCCUGGAAAUUUCCUAUACAUAGAAUCAUACAAUACGUGGUCUUUUGAGUCUAGCUUCUGUCACUUAACAUGAUGUAUUUGAGGUAGAUCCAUAUUGCAGCAUGUAUCACUCCAUUCGUUUUUGUGAUCUAAUAAUAUUCCAUUAUAUGGAUUUACUGCAUUUAGUUUAUCCAUUCACCAGCCGAGAGGCUUUUCCAUUGUUUCCACUUUUUGGCUGUGAUAAAUAAAGCUGCUAUGAACAUCUGUGUACAAGCCUUUGACUGGACAUAUAUUUCUCUUUCUCUUUAGGUAUAUGCCUAGGAGUGGAAUUGCUGAUUUGUGUGGUACAUUUAUGUUUACUUGUUGUAAAAACUGCUAAAUCUAUUUCCCAAAGUGCUGCACCAUUUUCCAUUCCACAGCCAUGGAUUUUAUAGACUGUGAGGUCCCGAUGCAAAUCCUAGGGCCACCCAUACAAGCAGACAGAGCCCAAUUUAGGGUCCUGGAACCAACCUAGGUGUAAAAUGAAGCCAUCUGGGGAUGGGGGGGACUGAGUCAAGCUCAGCCUCUCUGCAGCUUCUGAUGUCUGAGAAACAGGUGGGCAAGAAAUCAGCUGUUCUACUUUCUAAUCCAGAAAAACAUUGCCCUCUGGGACCUAGAGCACUUGUUAGGGGAAAAUCAGCAAAGUGGCGAUAACACCAAAAGGAAAAACAGAAACACACUGUGGAGACGUCAAGGGCGAUCUCAGCAAAGGAAGAAAACCAGCUUGAGAAGGCAGCAGUAAAGGCAGUUGGCCUGCAGCUCCCAUGCUCCGGAAGCCUUUAGUUCCCACUGCCAGCAUCCUCAGAGCCCUUUCCGACUACCUCGGAGGCCAGCGAGAGGAUAAUGGGGUGAUGGCAAGGGGGAGCCCCAGGACUCAGCUGCCUAUGGCUCUGAACAGACAGUGCUGGUCCAGCCAGGGAAGGCCUUCUCCAGAGGGGCACUGCUGGAGGAAGGAAGGAAGGAACGCCGCUGCCCGCCUGCCAGCCAGGAUAGCUCUGAGUGUCACCAGCUCUCCAGUUUGUGCCACAUGUUAUCUAAGGAGUCAUUUCACUAUUUAAUAAAGAGAUCCAGCUUUUGAUAGAGAGAAUUUGACAUGUCUGGCAGCAGCUGCAAAGGACAGAACUUUAUAAUGAUGGCCCGUGGUGGGUGUCUACACACACAACUGCCUGCCCAGCUUCCUCCUGACACGUCCCCUCACAUGGGAGUGAAACCGACAUGGCACUGCUGAAACACACAGAGUACACAGGGAUGGCACAGGGGGCAUGCCUUGCAGAAUGGAAUGGGCCUCUGCUUGCUGCUGAAUGCCACGUGCUCAGGACAGGUGGUAACUGUACUGGGUCGAAUUGCGUCCCUUCAAAUUCAUGUCCACAAGGACGCUGUGAAGGUGCUCCUAUUUGGAAAUAGGGCCUUUGCAGGUAUAAUUAAAGGGAAAUGAGGUCAUAUCAGAUUACAGUGGGCCGUAAUCCAAUGACUGGUAUUCUUUCCUAUAAGAGGGAAAUUUGGGCACAGACACAGAGAAGACACCGUGUGAAGACACAGACACAGAGGAGAGAAACUCAUAUGAAGACAAAGGCAGAGGCUGGGGUGAUACAGCUAUAAACCAAGGGACCCCAAGUGUUGCCAGGAAACCCCCAGAAGCCAGGACAAAACAAAGUAGGAUCCUUCCCUAGAGAUUUCAGAGGGACCAUGGCCCUACUAACACCUUGAUUUUAGACUCGUGACCCCCAGAACUGUGAGAUAAUACAUUCCUGUGGUUUAAAGCCACCCAGUUUAUGGUGCUUUGCCAAGGCAGCUCCAGGAAAUGGAACAAAAGCUGAGCCCAGGCUGCAGGUAACAAACUGUCCAUGCUGGCAGGUGGCAGAGGGGGAAGGACAGGCAGAGAGGGCCGCAUGGAGGAGGCACCUCCUUUAGUUGUGCCUGAGGUUCAGGCAGAAGGCCCAGAGAACAGAAGUGAAACUAGAGGCUCAGCAUGGCUCCUGGUAGAAUUGGCUUUAAUGGCUCAAGUUUUUUCAUCUUUGCUUCCUCCAACUUGCCUGGAACAGGUACUGCACACGGAUUGGCUCAGCUAGGCAGCUGGUGAGCUAGAGAAAUGGGAAUGACCCUCCACAUCAGCCUGACACCGGGUAUUAAAUCACUGCACCAAGUAUGUCAACACAACGCCCAGGUGGCCGCUGGACAAUAAGGCCACAGGGCCCCAGAGAGUGGCUGGACUUUGCUGUCUCGUCUGUACCUUGUGUGAGAGCUUGAGACUCAGAGGAGCCCGUGGGGCACAUGGAGGUGAACUUAGUCCCAGAUACAUUGUAUGGACGUGGUCAUGGGACACCAGUACUCAACAGGUAGGUGCUCUCCAGGGGGGCCCAUGACACAGGCCUGGCCAGGGAAGGCCCUAGGGACUUUCCAGAACUGGCCUGAGUUCCCGGCUUCCUAAGAGGAACAAUGCCGGGAGGAAGGGAGCAGUGGGACCCCAGCCAUAGACAGUACAUCCUGUCCAUGGGCUCACAACAGGCUUCGAAAUAAACAAGUGUUGUUGUCCCCAGUUAAACUUCUGUUUCCCUUCCACAGGGAACUCUCAGCUGCAGGCUCCUGGCCUGAGCAGACCUUCUCAGAAUGGCCAAAGUGCCUGUCCUCAGGAGCCAGGACUCCAGCUCAAUCUUAGCUACAAGACUCCAACCAAAAUCUUGGGGGGGAUAGAGGCCACAUUCUGUCCCUGCAGGAGGCCUCUCAGGCUCCCUGAGAACCUGUUUCUAGUUCUCUAGUGGAUUUCAGUUGACAGAACUCUCUACUUCAGCAUCCCUGGGUCCCAGGGCUGAAGCUGCAUCUAAGAACCUGAGCCCUGAAGGCCAGGGCGGGUUUGCUGACAGAGGCGCAGGGCCAUCUGAUGUCAGACCUGAAAGGGCCCCAGGGCCAGUCCAAGCCUAGACCAUCUCCACUGUGGGAGAAUAGGGGGUAGGUCUGGAGACAGAAAGGGGUCCUCUUUCUUUCUACAUGGGUCUUGGCUGUGCAGUUACUGGCCCGAUGACCACACUGGGCCUGGGACUCUAUGCCUCCUCUGCCUUGGUUGGCAUAGUGAGGAGUGACCAGAAUCCUCCCCUUCCCCUACCCUAAGCAGCAGCCUGGGUGACUGGGGCAGGGCAGCUUCCCUGGCUGAGUCCAUUGUUUUAAAGGACAAUCCUCUCCCCCUCUCCCCUCCCUGGUGGUCUGCCAUCAGCCUAGGCACAGAAAAGAACAUCACUAACACAGGCUGGAAUGGGUCACAGGCACAGGCUUUAUCAGGCGACAAGGAUCAUUGAUUGGCCAUGAGUCGCAGUCCUGUGGGUGAAGAACAAGCCACAGAUACUGGAGCAUCAAUAUCUGGGGGUCUUUGUGAUGGUGUCCAGAGAGUCCAGACCACUGAGGAGGUGGCGUCCACAGUGGAUGAAUACACAACGGGCAGGCCAGGUUCUGCCAGUGACCCCAAGCAGAGCACCAGCCCCUGUGGCCACCUACCCCGCUGUGCCCUCUGCUCCUAUGUCACUUGACCCAAAGCAGGUGGGGAGCAGGAGGCAGGGAGCCAGCAUCAGGGUGCAGAAAGGGCAGGGAGGGGACAAAGCCCAGAGGAGAGCUGGAGCCACCUCUCGGAGGAAGACCUGGCCCCAUCCCCUCCCCACUCCUACUGAGACCUUCCGCUGCAGUCAGCAAGGGAUGCAGGGCCCGGGGCUGAGUGCUGGGAAGGAGGGGCGGGUGUGAAGGGGGAAGGCAAAUGGGUGGAGCCGGUGCUGGAGCUGUCCCAGAGCUGGCUCAGAGCCCUGGGGAGGGAGCUGACCCUCUGAGCCUGGGUUAAGACGGAGGAGGAGGGAGUCAGCUCUCGACCCCAAAACCACCUGUUUCCUCUCACUCUAGCACUGGUGGAGGGGAAGCUGCUCAGGACAGGGCGCCACAGCUGGAGAGGGACGUGAUCAGAUGCAGGACAGAGCAGACAGGUCCUGGCACGGGCCAGGAGCUGAGACACUCAACACUGAUGGCUGCAAACCACCCGCACCAUCAGCCGGGGGCUCCCUCAGGGCUGGCUUUGGUGUCUAUCAGAAAAGGGUCUGAGGUCCUAGUCCCACCCGCUCAAUGCUUCUGCCAGGCAGGACAGGGCCAAGGAGCAAUAGUGGUUGCAUUUCCUUUAAAACUACUGUUUCAUUAAAAAACAAAACAAAACAAAACAAAAAACUAGCUCUGAACAUGAAGAAUUAUAUCCAAGAAAGACACCUUGACAUUUUUUGCUUUAUUAAACAUCAUUCACUGAGAAUUUCCAAAGCACUGUGUGGUGCCUAGACCUGUGUACCAGCGCUCUGGGGGUCGGGAGAAGUCUAAGGCACGGGCCCUGCCCUGGCGCACGGCUCCUUCUCCCUGGGAAGGCAGCUCCACUGGUGAAAGGCCACUGACCAAGUCCAGACCCUGAGGACGACGAAGGCUGGGAGCCCUGCCCAGGCCCCAG